rnacentral:tRNA from 1 species
GGGUGCUUAGCUCAGUUGGGAGAGCGUCGCCCUUACAAGGCGAAGGUCACUGGUUCAAGCCCAGUAGCACCCACCA